UGGGCAGCGUAGGGAGUGAAGCCGGCAA
rnacentral:piRNA from 1 species